rnacentral:ncRNA from 1 species
GCAACCUCAAGCUCGCGCACGGCAACGUGGUCGUGUUCCGUUCGCUGCUGGGCAUCAGCUGGAUGUGGUUCUUCGGCGCGGUGUUCCUGGCCAACUUCCCGGCCUUCGCGCGCGACACGCUG